GAAACGACUGCUAAGACUGGAUAGGGAGAUAAAAGGCAUCUUUUAUCUUUUAAAAGACCUAGUAAUAGGUAUGCUUUAGGAGGGGCUUGCGCCAUAUUAGUUAGUUGGUAGGGUAAUGGCCUACCAAGACGAUGAUGUGUAGCUGGACUGAGAGGUUGAACAGCCACAUUGGGACUGAGACACGGCCCAAACUCCUACGGGAGGCAGCAGUAGGGAAUUUUCGGCAAUGGAGGAAACUCUGACCGAGCAACGCCGCGUGAAUGACGAAGUACUUCGGUAUGUAAAGUUCUUUUAUCAAGGAAGAAAAGCAAAUGGCGAACCAUUUGUUUGCCGGUACUUGAUGAAUAAGCCCCGGCUAAUUAUGUGCCAGCAGCCGCGGUAAGACAUAAGGGGCAAGUGUUAUCCGGAAUUAUUGGGCGUAAAGGGUGCGUAGGCGGUCUAGUAAGUCAGUGGUGUAAUGGCAACGCUUAACGUUGUCCGGCUAUUGAAACUGCUAAACUUGAGUUAGAUAGAGGCGAGUGGAAUUCCAUGUGUAGCGGUAAAAUGCGUAAAUAUAUGGAGGAACACCAGAGGCGUAGGCGGCUCGCUGGGUCUUAACUGACGCUGAGGCACGAAAGCGUGGGGAGCAAACAGGAUUAGAUACCCUGGUAGUCCACGCCGUAAACGAUGAGUACUAAGUGUCGGGUUAAACCGGUACUGAAGUUAACACAUUAAGUACUCCGCCUGAGUAGUACGUACGCAAGUAUGAAACUUAAAGGAAUUGACGGGACUCCGCACAAGCGGUGGAUCAUGUUGUUUAAUUCGAAGAUACCCGAAAAACCUUACCAGGUCUUGACAUGUUUUUGCAAAAUGAUAGUAAUAUCGUGGAGGUUACCAGAAACACAGGUGGUGCAUGGUUGUCGUCAGCUCGUGUCGUGAGAUGUUAGGUUAAGUCCUAAAACGAGCGAAACCCUUAUCGUUAGUUGCCAGCACGUUAUGGUGGGGACUUUAACGAGACUGCCAAUGAUAAAUUGGAGGAAGGUGAGGAUCACGUCAAAUCAGCAUGCCCCUUAUGACCUGGGCUACAAACGUGGUACAAUGGCUGUUACAAAGGGUAGCUGAAACGCAAGUUCUUGGCCAAUCCCCAAAAACAGUCCCAGUCCGGAUUGAAGUCUGCAACUCGACUUCAUGAAGUUGGAAUCGCUAGUAAUCGCGAAUCAGCAUGUCGCGGUGAAUACGUUCGCGGGGUUUGUACACACCGCCCGUCA
rnacentral:rRNA from 1 species